GCGUCCGUAGCUUAACUGGAUAGAGCAGAUGGCUUCGGACCAUCAGGUUGCGGGUUCGAGUCCUGCCGGACGCA
rnacentral:tRNA from 2 species